rnacentral:rRNA from 1 species
UACGUAGGUGGCGAGCGUUUGUCCGGGAUUUACUGGGCGUAAAGAGCGCGCUAGGCGGUCGUGCAAGUCGCGUGUGAAAGCCCCCGGCUCAACUGGGGAGGGUCACGCGAUACUGGCUCGACUCGAAGGCAGGAGAGGGAAAGUGGAAUUCCCGGUGUAGUGGUGAAAUGCGUAGAUAUCGGGAGGAACACCAGUGGCGAAGGCGACUUCCUGGCCUGUUCUUGACGCUGAGGCGGCGGAAAAGCUAGGGUAGCAAACGGG